CUCAGAGAGCCCUCUACAGGGACGUCAUGCAGGAGAACUACGAGUCGGUGACCUCGCUGGGAUUUCCCAUUCCCAAACCUGACCUGAUCGCCCGGCUAGAACGAGGGGAAGAGCCGUGGGUCCCGGAUCUCCAGGCUGAUGAGGAAAGGGAGAGCCCGAGAGGCAUCCACACAGGCUGUGACUCCUGUCUGGAUUCUUUCUCCUCUAGCAGGUGACAGGACAGUGACUGAGAACAAGAAGGAGAAUCAGCAGGUGGAAGGUCCUGAGAAAUUGGAACUGCAGGGGAUAUUUUUGAGAAGAGCUGAAGGGAAUUUUUCCCAGUGCUUGGAACAGGGAAAUGCCUGGAGAGAUCGACACAGAUCAGAGAUGCAGCUGGGAAACUAUCCCAGGAAGAAACUGGAUGAAUCCAUUCAACGUGGUGGAGGAUGCAAGGAUCCCAAGGAAAUCACAGUCCAGCAGACAAGUCACAAUGAAGAGAAACCUUACAAAUGCCUUGACCGUGGGAAAAGUUUCCAUUUCAGUGCAAGCCUUAUUAAACAUUGGAGAACACACACAGGAGAGAAGUCCUAUAAAUGUGUAGACUGUGGGAAAAGCUUCAGUGAGAAAUCAAACUUUAUUGUGCACCAGAGACUGCACAUAGGAGAGAAACCAUAUAAAUGUUUUGAGUGUGGGAAAAGUUUUAGUCUGAGUUCAUACCUUACUGCACAUCGGAGAAUCCACACAGGAGAAAGACCCUAUAAAUGCCUUGAGUGUGGGAAAAGUUUCAAUUUGAAAUCAACCCUUAAUACACAUCACAAAACUCACACAGGUGAGAAACCCCAUAAAUGCUUGGAGUGUGGGAAAACUUUCACUCAGCGCAUUCACCUUACUCAACAUAGGAAAAUCCACACGGGAGAGAGACCAUACAAAUGCCUUCAGUGUGGGAAAACUUUCACUCAGCGCAUUCACCUUACUCAACAUAGGAAAAUCCACACGGGAGAGAGACCAUACAAAUGCCUUCAGUGUGGGAAAAGUUUCAGUCAGCACUCAAACUAUAUUAGACAUCCAUGUCUGAACACAAGAGAGAGACACUAUAAAUGCCUUCAGUGUGAGAAACUUUUCAGUACGCGAUGGAACCUUAUUAAACAUGAGCGAACCCACACCGGCGAGAAACCAUAUAAAUGCUUGGACUGUGGGAAAACUUUUGGUCAGAGCUCAUACCUUAUUAAACAUAGGAGAAUCCACACAGGAGAGAGACCAUAUAAUUGCUUUGAGUGUGGGAAAAAUUUUAUUGACAGAACAAAACUUACUAGACAUCAGGCAAUCCAUACAGGAGAGAAACCCCAUAAAUGCUUGGACUGUGGGAAAAGCUUCAUUCGGAAGUCACAACUUACUAGACACCAGAAAGUUCACGCAGCAGAGGGAUCUUAUAAAUGCCUUGAGUGUGGUAAAACUUUUAUUCAUAACUCAAAGCUUACUAUGCAUCAGAGAACCCACAGAGGAGAGAGACCUUAUAAAUGCCUGAACUGUGGGAAAACUUUUACUCACAACUCAAAGCUUACUAAACAUCAGAAAACCCACACAGGAGAGAGACCCUAUGGAUGCCUUGAGUGUGGGAAAAGUUUUAUUCAGAAGUCACAUCUUACUACACAUCAGAGAACCCACACAGGAGAGAGACCUUAUAAAUGCCUGGAGUGUGGGAAAACUUUUAUGUAUAACUCAAAGCUUACUACACAUCAGAGAACCCACACAGGAGUGAGACCCUAUGGUUGCCUUGAGUGUGGGAUAAGUUUUAUGGAAAGUUCAUCCCUUAUUAAACAUGGGAGAAUCCACACAGGAGAAAGACCCUAUAAAUGCCUGGACUGUGGGAAAACUUUCAGUCAAAGCUCACACCUUAGUAAACAUGGGAGAAUCCAUGGAGGAGAGAGACCCUAUAAAUGCCUUGAGUGUGGGAAAAGUUUUUUGAAAAGUUCAUCCCUUAUUAAACAUGAGCGAAUCCACGUGGGAGAAAGACCCUACAAAUGCCUGGAGUGUGGGAAAAGUUUUAUGGAAAGUUCAUCCCUUACUAAACAUGGGAGAAUCCACACAGGAGAAAGACCCUAUAAAUGCCUUGAGUGUGGGAAAAGUUUCGUUUGUCAAUCAUUCUUUAUUAAGCAUCAGAGAAUCCACACAGGAGACAGACCCUAUAAAUGCCUGGACUGUGGGAAAACUUUCAGUCAAAGCUCACACCUUACUCAACAUGGGAUAAUCCACACAGGAGAGAGACCCUAUAAAUGUCUUGAGUGUGGGAAAAGUUUCAGUUUGAAAUCAACCCUUAAUACACAUCACAAAUCUCACACAGGAGAGAAACCCCAUAAAUGCCUGGAGUGUGGGAAAAGUUUUAUUCAGAAGUCAUAUCUUACUAGACACCAGAGAGUUCACACAGGAGAGAGACCCUUUAAAUGCCUUAAGUGUGGGAAAAGUUUUGUGGAAAGUUCAUCCCUUACUAAACAUGGGAGAAUCCACACAGGAGAAAGACCCUAUAAAUGUCUUGAGUGUGGGAAACGUUUCAGUUUGAAAUCAACCCUUAAUACACAUCACAAAACUCACACAGGAGAGAAACCCCAUAAAUGCCUGGAGUGUGGGAAAACUUUCAGUCAGCGCUCAAACCUUAAUCAACAUGGGAAAAUCCACACAGGCAAGAGACCGUAUAAAUGCUUUGAUUGUGGGGAAAGCUUCAGUAAGAGUUCAGAGCUGACCACACAUCAGAAAAUCCACAAAGGUGAGAUACCCUAGAAAUAGCUUGACUGCAGGAAAAGAUUCAAUUUGACUUCAAGCAUCAGUGAUCCACACAACAGAGAGACCUUGAAUGUGGUGGAAGCUUCAUUUGGUGUUCCUGGAAUAUCAGGGAUCCGCAAAUCCACACGGGGAAGAAACCUCUGAGAUGUUCUCAGUGUGGAAAAUGUUCCAAGUGGAACUGUCAUUUCAGGCUCCUCCACAGAGCAGGGAAAUUCUCUCAGGGCUCUGACUAGGGCUGGCCAUGGUGACAAACCCAUUUCCUCGUUCCCCCUCACAUCAGGGGUGUUUGGCUCCCAAGGAUCCAGCUGCCCAUUGCUGAGGUGAAGAUCCAGCAGCAGCCGAGCAUAAGCUGGUCAGUGACCCUCUGGCUCUUCCACGGUCAGUCCCUCCUCCCUGCUGCAGCCCUGGCUUCUGAGCUGAUGGGCUACAGGUGGGGGAAGGGAAAGAGAGAAACUCCUCCAGAUGCUCCCUCUGCCUGGCUGAAGUUUCCUGCUCUUCCUUCCCUUCCCUGCUGGGAUCCCCCUGCCAUGGAGAUGAGGAGAAAGACACUUGGGCCAGGCCCCACCUUCACUCUAGACACCUGUCCCCUCCCCCAUCUUCGACCAGCCCCUGGGUUGGGCCACCCCACUGACCUGUUCCCUGUAGGGGGAGUGUCCCUGGGGGCUGGUAACUUCUCCCCUCCCCAAAUCCCCCUGGGCAUUGGGUUCUGGGGGAUCAAGUAUUGAGGGACCAGGAGGAUGGGUUUUGGGGAGGGAACUGGGGAUUGAAUGAUUGGGGCUGGUGGAGCUCGGUGCUGGGGUAUUGAGUGUUUGAGGAUCAUGGGGUAAGAGGCGAGGGAGAGCACAGGGGUAGAGAGGUGCUGCCUCAUCACUCUCUCCCUCUGCCCCAUCUCCCUGCCUCCUCUGCAUUCAGACAGCACCACUGAGAGGGGCUGAUUCCCACAGAGCCAUUUGUGAGAGGCCUGGAGAUCCCACCUGUGCUUCCAAGCAUCUGUCUAUGGUAGGAAAUGUGGUCGGGAUUAGCCAGCGCAUCUCUGUGACCCUCCACCAGAUUUCCUAGUGUAACCUCAUCCUGAGCAUCUUAUAUGUAAGCCUAAGAUUUUGUCAUGGAUAUCUUUAAUAAAAGUCAUGGACAGGUAACAGGCAAUAAAGAAAUAUUCACGGAAGCCUGUGACCUGUCCGGGACUCUUACUAAUAAUAUCUGUGACAAAAUGGGGCGAGAGAAGGCUGCAGCACCCAUUGCUGGGGCUCUGGGGUCCCAUGGCAGCUGGGCAGAUGUGGGGGCCCUGGCUGGGAGCUGCAUUGGCCCCCUGCCUCCCAUGGCUCGGAGCUCCGGGGCGGCCUUGCCCCCCACAGCGACUCAUAGAUCUGGGGGCCAGCCCAGUAGCUGAGUGCUGUGGGGUACCCCCACAGCCUGCACCAGCUUAGAGCUUCGGGGACCCCACAGCUCUGAGCUGCCAUGGGCUGAAGUCGCAGAGGUCUCUGGAAGUCACAGAUUCUGUGACUUUGAAUCCGUAGCAAAAUCAUACCUUUUACUUACGUGUUCUGACCUCCUCCCUUUUGCUGGGUGGUCAUUAGUCCCGGACUUCCCCCUUUGGGGCUGGAUUGUCUCAUUCCCAGAUAGUCUCACAUUACUCCAGGCCCUGCUGUAAAGUAUUGAGUGUUUGUACAUUUUCUUCCUUAUGCACCAUAAUUAACUAGAUGCUAAAAAAGUGGGAGCAGGGACUCACUCCACUCUCCACAGAGCUGCCUCUGUCCCAGCAAUGGACAGUUUUAUCUUCUCCUCAUUCUACCCCUCUGCCUCUCAAGGUGUCACUUACCACCGUGUCCCUGGCUCUCCAUGCCUGGGAAUCACAGGUUUGAUGUCUAUGAUCCUAAGUCAGACUCUAAGAGGGCUGGAGAAGAAAGUGCCACAGAGCCAGGAGUGGCUGGGGAAAUUCCAUUGGCUCUAAAGCACAGUUUGACCUUACAAAUCCUAGAGCCCUGUUUGCAUCUAUUGGUGAAAUUAGUUCCUGGGUUUUUCUAGGCUAGUCCAGAUCAUUUGUAGAUGGGAAGACUUGUGUUUCUUUCUCUUUCUUUUAGUAUAAUGAUGCUAAAACUUUUGCAAGUAAUACAACCAAAUAAUGAGGCGAGAAGUGAAACUGGUUUAGCCGCUACAGAAGAAAAUGGGUAGAAUAGUGAGAUUUUACUGUAUGUUUGUUACUAGGGUGACCAUAUUCCACGUGCCCAAAGAGAGGACACUGACGAGGAGUGGGAGCUGGGGGGUAGAAUUGUGGGUGCUGGAGGGUUGCGGGGGGAGUACUCACGAAGUGAGGGCAGUGUCGGUCACUGUCACAGUGGCAGGGCGCUGAUACAAGCCCAGAACACAGCAACAGCCAUCCGUCAGCACCUGCCUGCAGGACCCGCUCCCCAGGGCUGGGAGCUGGGGCCUGGGUGGGUGGGAUCUGGCAGCAAUCAAUCAGCUACAGAUGCAGAGGAAUGGACCGAUCAGCUGUGGAUGCCGGGGAAUAGACCAAUUUCUGAGCUGUAGCCCAUCUGCUCUGCAAAACCCCUGGACAUUUGCUGUUAUGGGAAAAUCACACUCGGACAGAGAAACGGGUUCCAAAAAGAAGCUCUGCCUGGGAAAACCCGGAUGUAUGGUAGCUUUAUUUGUUACUGAAAUAUGUUGACGUUCUGGGGAACAGCCCACAGACUAACUCCUCAGAGACGACAAAGAACUGACCAUCUAUGUUAGAAAACUACUAUCUGGCCGUCCACCAACAGGAGGAAGGCGGUAAACAAAGACAUUUACAAUUCAUUUGAAAGACGGUGUAGAGCUCACAUAGGCCAUCACCCAGCAAUGACUUUUACACUAUAAAGGGUGGGAGUAUAGAGGGGGAGGAAGGCCUCUGGCCACUUCUCCUCCCCCAUCUCUACUCACAGUAGCAAGAUCUCUUGAAAGACAACAGGAGCAUCGUUGAACUGGGGGCAGUGAUCCUCGCUGGAAAGCUUCCCAGUGAGCAGGGACUGCUGAAAGCUCUUGGGUGAGAGAAAUCCCUUUGCUUGUAAGGGGCAUCUACACUCCAAACCUAAGUUGACCUAUAUUAGGUUGACUUACAGCUGCCACAGUAAUUACUGCAGUAGCUGAUGUCCACACUACCCUCCUUGGGUUGCUGGGGCGUGUCCUGCCGAGGAGCCCUUCUACCGACCUAAGAGGGGCAGUGUGGGGAGCUGAGAGCCCAGUCUGUCAGCUCCAGCGGCAGCUCCCUCCGUAGGCGCCAACUUCCCCUCUGCCCGGUGGGUGCUUGACCUCCCCCUUCCCACACCUGGCCCAGCCCCUGCACUGCCCUCACCCCACCUCCAUUCCACCCCUUCCCCAAAGUCCCCACCCCAGACCUGCCCCAAGUCCAUCCCCUUCUCCCAGGGGAGGUUCCGGCACUCCUGCUGGAGUGUCUGAGGUUUUUAAAUUGCCAGUUUGGCAACCCAGGUAGCUAGCUGAGAGGCUGGGAAAAAUAUUAACAAACGUUCAAAUAUCACUUUACACAGCGGCAGACUUAUUAGCUAGCAGAAAAUAAAUUACAAUAAAGACUGGGAGUGGAUGGGCCAUUACACAAAGUAAAACCAUUUCCCCCCCCCCCCCCCGCC